UACGUAGGGGGCUAGCGUUGUCCGGAAUCAUUGGGCGUAAAGAGCGCGUAGGCGGCUGGAAUAGUCCGGUGUGAAAUCCACAGGCUUAACCUGUGAAUGCCGCUGGAAACUGUCUGGCUAGAGUCCGGAAGGGGCGAGUGGAAUUCCUGGUGUAGCGGUGAAAUGCGCAGAUAUCAGGAGGAACACCAAUGGCGAAGGCAGCUCGCUGGGACGGUACUGACGCUGAGGCGCGAAGGCGUGGGGAGCGAACAGG
rnacentral:rRNA from 1 species